rnacentral:rRNA from 1 species
GGUACGUUACUCGCAGAAUAAGCACCGGCUAACUCUGUGCCAGCAGCCGCGGUAAUACAGAGGGUGCGAGCGUUAAUCGGAUUUACUGGGCGUAAAGCGUGCGUAGGCGGCUGAUUAAGUCGGAUGUGAAAUCCCUGAGCUUAACUUAGGAAUUGCAUUCGAUACUGGUCAGCUAGAGUAUGGGAGAGGAUGGUAGAAUUCCAGGUGUAGCGGUGAAAUGCGUAGAGAUCUGGAGGAAUACCGAUGGCGAAGGCAGCCAUCUGGCCUAAUACUGACGCUGAGGUACGAAAGCAUGGGGAGCAAACAGGAUUAGAUACCCUGGUAG